rnacentral:lncRNA from 1 species
CCACGCCCCCGUGGGACCCCAGUGUGUCGUCGUCCCCCCCCCCCUCCCCUCCUUCUUUUCCCCUCUCCUCAUUUUGGGGCGUUUUCCCCCGAAUUAAAGCAGUUUUGGUACUACGAAAAGCCCUUUUAAACUUUGCCGCGGCGAGGGAAGGGUUAACGGCGCCCCUCGGCUCCGCCCGCGCCACUCUCAACCAAUCAGCGCUCUGCGCCCCGCCUCCCGCAGCCAAUCGGCGUCCUCUCUUCAAGCCGCGCCCUUUGCCCUAUCGGCUGUGUCAUUGCGGCGGUCCCCACUUCCCCGCCAUCGCCGCCUUAAGAGGAGGCCACGCCCCGCUUCCCCGCCCUCUGAACCAGCAGCCAAUCAGCGCAAAGCGCCCCGCUCCCUCAGCCAAUCGGCGCGCUAGCCCCGCCCACUAGCCGCUCAUCCAAUCAACGUUCAAUCUCUUCAAACGCCAGCAGUUUCUUGUCCGCCAGUUUGGGGGCGGGGCUUAAACAGGAAGUGCGGUAAGCCGUCAGUUUGUAGGCGGAGCUUACACAGGAAGUGCGAUUGUCCGAGUUUGGGGGCGUGGCUUAAACCGGAAGCAUAGCUGUCCAUCAGUUCUUGGGUCGUGGCUUAAACCGGAAGCACGCGUGUCCGCCAUCUUGGGGGCGUGGCUUGUCGCGCAGGGGCUGCUGGGAAUCGUAGUCCUUAAAGGGGCCACCGCCAUUUUGGGGGCGUUUUGGGGGCGAAAAACGGAGAAAUGCGGACAAAACGGGGCGGAGUUUUUACAGCGGGGGGGGCGGGGCGGCCAACAGCGCUUCCACGGACCUGAGGGCAAAGGGGGGCAGCGGCACUUAGGGGGCAGCCCCACACUUAGGGGGCGGACCCCCACUUAUGGGGCAGCCCCACACUUAUGGGGCAGACCCCCACUUAUGGGGCAGCCCCACACUUACGGGUUGGACCCACACUUAUGGGGCAGCCCCACACUUAUGGGGCAGCCCCACUUAUAGGCCAUACCCACACUUAUGGGUCAGACCCCCGCUUAGGGGGCAGCCCCACACUUAUGGGUCGGACUCCCACUUAUGGGUCAGCCCCACACUUACGGAUUGGACCCCCACUUAUGGGGCAGCCCCCCACUUAUGGGGCAGCCCCCCACUUAUGGGGCAGCCCCACACUUACAGGUCAGACCCCACUUAUGGGUCAGCCCCACACUUAUGGGGCAGCCCCACACUUAUAGGGCAGCCCCACUUUUAGGCCAUACCCCCACUUAAGGGUCAGACCCCCACUUAUGGGUCAGACCCCCACUUAUGGGGCAGCCCCACACUUACAGGUCAGACCCCACUUAUGGGGCAGCCCCACUUAUAGGCCAUACCCACACUUAUGGGUCAGACCCCCGCUUAGGGGGCAGCCCCACACUUAUGGGGCAGCCCCACUUAUAGGCCAUACCCCCACUUAUUGGGCAGCCCCACUUAUGGGUCAGCCCCACACUUAUGGGUCGGACCCACACUUAUGGGUCGGACCCACACUUACGGGUCGGACCCCCACUUAUGGGCCGGACCCCCACUUAUGGGGCAGCCCCACACCUCAGCAUCCCCCGCAGUCUCCGCCGUCGAUCCCUCAGCGCCUGCAGCACCGCAUCCUCCACCGCCUCCGCCUCAUCCGAAUCUGUGGGGCACAGAGCAAAUGUGGGGCAGCACAUGUGGGGCUGCCCCAUAAGUGGGGGUCAGACCCAUAAGUGGGGGUAUGGCCUGUAAUGAAGGCUGCCCCAUAAGUGUGGGGCUGCCCCCUAAGUGUGGCUCUGCCCCACAAGUGGGGGCUGACCCCUAAGUGUGGCUCUGCCCCAUAAGUGGGGGCCGCCCCAUAAGCGUGGGUCUGACCCGUAAGUGAGGGUGACCCCUAAGUCUGGCUCUGCCCCAUAAGUUGGGCUGACCCCUAAGUGUGGCUCUGCCCCAUAAGUGUGGGGCUGCCCCAUAAGUGCUCUCAGUUCUCACCCAUUGCUUCCUGCAGCAGUUCGAUGGCGGCCGCUUUCUGCCCCAUGGCGCUGCCCCACGGCGCUGGAGGGACGGUCUGCCCCAUAGAAACACACUGACCCACAGCUCCGCCCCAUAGAUCCUACAGUCCUGCCCCAUAGAUCCACAGCUCUGCCCCAUAGAUCCACAGCUCCACCCCACAGAUCUACAGUUCUGCCCCAUAGAUCUCUCUGCCCCAUGGUUCUGCCCCAUAGAUCCACAGCUCCGCCCCAUAGAUCCCACAGUUCUGCCCCAUAGAUCCCUCUGCCCCACAGCUCCGCCCCAUAGAUCCACAUCUCCGCCCCAUACAUCCACAUCUCCGCCCCACAGACCCCUCUGCCCCACAUCUCUGCCCCAUAAACUCACAUCUCCACCCCAUACAUCCUACAGCUCUGCCCCACAGAUCCCCCAGCCCCACAUCUCUGCCCCAUAGACCCUACAGUUCUGCCCCAUAAGUCCCCCAGCCCCAAAUGUCCGCCCCAUAGAUCCACACCCCUGCCCCAUAGAUCUCUCAGCCCCACAACUCUGCACCAUAGGUCCACAGCUCUGCCCCACAGCUCCACCCCAUAGACUCAUAUCUCUGCCCCAUAGAUCCCCCAGCCCCACAUCUCCGCCCCACAGCCCCACAACCCCAUAAGAGCACCCCUCUCUUUAGCCCCGCCCCUCCCUUUAGCCCCGCC